rnacentral:rRNA from 1 species
UACGAAGGGGGCUAGCGUUGCUCGGAAUUACUGGGCGUAAAGGGCGCGUAGGCGGAUGACUAAGUCGGGGGUGAAAGCCCGGGGCUCAACCUCGGAACUGCCUUCGAUACUGGUCAUCUUGAGUACGGGAGAGGUGUGUGGAACUCCGAGUGUAGAGGUGAAAUUCGUAGAUAUUCGGAAGAACACCAGUGGCGAAGGCGACACACUGGCCCGUUACUGACGCUGAGGCGCGAAAGCGUGGGAGCAAACAGG